UACCAGCACCCCGAGUGGUCGGGACGAUUAUUGGGCCUAAAGCAUCCGUAGCCGGUUUUACAAGUCCUCCGUUAAAUCCAGCUGCUUAACAGAUGGGCUGCGGAGGAUACUAUAAGACUAGGAGGCAGGAGAGGCAAGCGGUACUCAGUGGGUAGGGGUAAAAUCCGUUGAUCCAUUGAAGACCACCAGUGGCGAAGGCGGCUUGCCAGAAUGCGCUCGACGGUGAGGGAUGAAAGCUGGGGGAGAAAACCGG
rnacentral:rRNA from 1 species